rnacentral:rRNA from 1 species
UCGAAUCUUUAGAACGCACAUUGCGCCCUCUGGUAUUCCAGGGGGCAUGCCUGUUUGAGCGUCAUUUCUCUCUCAAACCUUUGGGUUUGGUAGUGAGUGAUACUCGUCUCGGGUUAACUUGAAAGUGGCUAGCCGUUGCCAUCUGCGUGAGCAGGGCUGCGUGUCAAGUCUAUGGACUCGACUCUUGCACAUCUACGUCUUAGGUUUGCGCCAAUUCGUGGUAAGCUUGGGUCAUAGAGACUCAUAGGUGUUAUAAAGACUCGCUGGUGUUUGUCUCCUUGAGGCAUACGGCUUUAACCAAAACUCUCAAAGUUUGACCUCAAAUCAGGUAGGAGUACCCGCUGAGCUUAAGCUUAUCAAUAAGCGGAGGAAUC